GGUUUAUAGACAUAUCGUUUUUAUUCAUUGGGAAAGAAGACAAGAUGGCGGAUCUCGGAGAAUUGAUACUCUAAAUUUAAAAUCGAUGGUGAUCGCUUAUCUAGCGGAAUAAAACUUUAAUAUCUAUGAAUUUGAACAUUUUUAUACAGAAUGAACAUAAUAUCAAUUUUUGAUUUUUUUGCGAAGUUUCCCUUUAAUUGAACAGUA
rnacentral:lncRNA from 1 species